GGAGUUGUGGCUCAGUGGUAGAGUGCUCCUAGCAUGUGUGAGGCCCUGGGUUCAAUCCUCAGCACCA
rnacentral:tRNA from 1 species